GAUGAACGCUGGCGGCGUGCCUAAUACAUGCAAGUCGAGCGAACAGAUAAGGAGCUUACUCCUUUGACGUUAGCGGCGGACGGGUGAGUAACACGUGGAUAACCUACCUAUAAGACUGGGAUAACUUCGGGAAACCGGAGCUAAUACCGGAUAACAUAUUGAACCGCAUGGUUCAAUAGUGAAAGGCGGCUUUGCUGUCACUUAUAGAUGGAUCCGCGCCGUAUUAGCUAGUUGGUAAGGUAACGGCUUACCAAGGCAACGAUACGUAGCCGACCUGAGAGGGUGAUCGGCCACACUGGAACUGAGACACGGUCCAGACUCCUACGGGAGGCAGCAGUAGGGAAUCUUCCGCAAUGGGCGAAAGCCUGACGGAGCAACGCCGCGUGAGUGAUGAAGGUCUUCGGAUCGUAAAACUCUGUUAUCAGGGAAGAACAAAUGUGUAAGUAACUGUGCACAUCUUGACGGUACCUGAUCAGAAAGCCACGGCUAACUACGUG
rnacentral:rRNA from 1 species